GAAGGCAGCAACAGGAAUGGUGAAGGGUCAGUGGAGUGUAGAAGUUGUUAAUAAUGAGAAAUAUUAAAUUGGUAGAUACUAUCAGGACUGUUGAAACUGUCAAAGACUGUUUUUUCUGUUAUGAUUUUUCUACAAUAAUAAAGAGUUGCCCUAGUCUCUAAGAACUUGUUAAUCUGUUAGUUUGUUAACAGAUCAUGGCAUGAUAUGUUGCUAUAAGUUAGCAUUUCAG
rnacentral:lncRNA from 1 species